rnacentral:rRNA from 1 species
UACGUAGGUGGCAAGCGUUGUCCGGAUUUACUGGGCGUAAAGAGCGCGCAGGCGGUCGUUCAAGUCGCGUGUGAAAGCCCCCGGCUCAACUGGGGAGGGUCACGCGAUACUGAUCGACUCGAAGGCAGGAGAGGGAAGUGGAAUUCCCGGUGUAGUGGUGAAAUGCGUAGAUAUCGGGAGGAACACCAGUGGCGAAGGCGACUUACUGGACUGUAACUGACGCUGAGGCAUGAAAGCGUGGGGAGCAAACAGG